CACGUAGGGGGGCAAGCGUUGUCCGGAAUCAUUGGGCGUAAAGAGCUCGUAGGCGGCUCAGUAAGUCGGGUGUGAAACCCUCAGGCUCAACCUGGGGACGCCACCCGAUACUGCUGUGGCUAGAGUCCAGUAGGGGAGUGUGGAAUUCCCGGUGUGAGCGGUGAAAUGCGCAGAUAUCGGGAGGAACACCAGCGGCGAAGGCGGCACUCUGGGCUGGUACUGACGCUGAGGAGCGAAAGCGUGGGUAGCAAACGGG
rnacentral:rRNA from 1 species